AUGCUAGAAAAUGCAGUCUCUAAUGUUUCUACCUUGAAUGAAGCCCCGUUGCUCCUUCGAAAUGAGGGAAGGCAUUAUGGAAGAAAGCCUAGCCGCGAUGAUCUUGGUAGAUGCACAAAUCGCAAGAAUUCCAAACAUGGUGUUGUCAGAAUGACAGAUGAAGGCAACAUGUUGGUCCGAGACGCUAUGAAUUUGGGGAGUAAUAUUACUGUUGCAAAUGCACUAGAGAUUAGGAGUCAACAUGUUUCUAUUAUUGACAACAAAAAGAGACAUUUGUAA